AGAAUCAACGCUGGCGGCGUGCCUAACACAUGCAAGUCGAACGAGAAAGGGGUAGCAAUACCCUGAGUAAAGUGGCGCACGGGUGAGUAACACGUGACUAACCUACCCUGGAGUGGGGGAUAACUGAGGGAAACCUUAGCUAAUACCGCAUAACACCUACGGGUCAAAGGAGCAAUUCGCUUCAGGAGGGGGUCGCGGCCGAUUAGUUAGUUGGCGGGGUAAUGGCCCACCAAGACGAUGAUCGGUAU
rnacentral:rRNA from 1 species